CAUCCCCUAAUUCCCUCUAUUGUAACUUAUUCCUAUAGUCUAAUUCAUGCCCCUCUUGUGAGCCUUGCCUUGGGACCCAUGAGCUCCCUCUGAACUUGGACACUUGAGGGUUGGCCCUUCCACAUUACACAUUAAUUCGGUUCUUUGAUGAUAUCUAAACCAAGUUUUCUGCACUCAUAUAGAAAUAAUGCCUAUAAGUUUUCU
rnacentral:lncRNA from 1 species